GCCCCUAUAGCUCAGUUGGUAGAGCAACUGACUCUUAAUCAGUUUGUCCGAGGUUCGAGCCCUCGUGGGGGUAC
rnacentral:tRNA from 1 species